rnacentral:rRNA from 1 species
UACAGAGGUCUCAAGCGUUGUUCGGAUUCAUUGGGCGUAAAGGGCGCGUAGGCGGAUCUUUAAGUCGGGGGUGAAAGCCCAGGGCUCAACCCUGGAAUUGCCUUCGAUACUGGAGAUCUUGAGACCGGAAGAGGUAAGUGGAACUGCGAGUGUAGAGGUGAAAUUCGUAGAUAUUCGCAAGAACACCAGUGGCGAAGGCGGCUUACUGGUCCGGUUCUGACGCUGAGGCGCGAAAGCGUGGGGAGCAAACAUG